AACCAACCAUAAAAUGUCUUUUCAAAUAUCGAAUUGUUUUUACAAUAUUUUAUUUAUGAUGACAAAUGCCUUUGACAUGUCGGAUUUGUUUUUACAAAAUUACUACCAAGUAAAUUACUAAAUCAAGUAAAGGUAUAUAUAUCAUAGGUUCAAAAACCCUAAAUCGCCUUUCGUCUCCCAAAUCUGCCGCCGCCGCCAUCGUCGAUCCUGUAAUGGAUUCGAGUUACUCUGAUUCUCGUCCUUAUGGUGUUUGGAAGCAAACCCAGAUGGUUGAUUCAAUGAACAACGACCAGUCUGAUUCACAGACAAUGCCACAGUUAAAAAGGCCGAGACUUGUUGAUGACAACAACACUUCUUGGAAUUUUCCAUCUUCAAACGCUCCUCCUGUGAACAAAGGGACGGCUAAUAUCUUCUACAAGACAAGGAUGUGCGUGAAGUUCAAGUCAGGGGCUUGUAGGAACGGAGAGCUUUGCAACUUUGCUCAUGGAAUGGAGGAUUUGAGACAGCCUCCGUCGAACUGGCAGGAGAUUGUUGGACCUCCUGUGCAAGACAGGGAGAAGGAGAGGGAAAGAGAGAGGCUUUCUUCGGUUGGGAAUAAUAGUAAUAAUGGUGGUAAUUGGGAAGAUGAUCAGAAGAUUAUAUUGAGGAUGAAGCUUUGCAGGAAGUUUUGUUUCGGCGAGGAGUGUCCUUAUGGUGACAGGUGCAAUUUCAUUCACGAGGAUCUUUCUAAGUUCCGCGAGGAGAAUGGGAAGCUGAGGGAGAGUUUGGCUAUAAGUGUUGUUGAUCCACUGUCUGUUGAGAAUGGUGUUGUUGCUUCUCAUCAAGUUGAAGUGAAUAGACAAGGAGGCGUCCCUGCACCUGUACCUGCACCUGUACCUGCACCUGUACCUGCACCUGCACCGUUGAACAAUGGUGGUGGUGGUGUCAAGACUGUGUUCUGGAAGACGAGGCUGUGUGGGAAGUUUGAGAAGGGUCAGUGUCCUUUUGGUGAUAACUGUCACUUUGCUCAUGGCCAAGCAGAGCUGCUGCAACACUCUGUUGGAAGAGUUGAAGGAGAAGCUAUGAACGCAGUAGCAGCGUCUGUGAGUAAACCAAUGGUGGUGCCAGCAAAUGAAGCAUUUGCAAUGAAACCAACUGCACAAGUAACAGCAGAUUCUUCUGGUCUUAACGACGAAGGGCGGCGAAAGAAGUGUUUGCUCAAGUGGAGUGACUCCAAGAAGAUUAAUCGAAUCUAUGGGGACUGGAUCGAUGAUUUACCGGUUGGUCAGAAGUCGACAAAACCAGUAGAGAGUUAAAGAGUCUUCUAGUUUUGGUUUCCACUUGGUUCGAGUCUUUGAUGAUCAAAGAGUCAAGAAGAUGAUACCAUAUAUGAAGAAUCUCUGUAUUCGAUUAUACAGCUCUCUCCAACCCAAAAUAAAAGUAGAGAUUCUUAGUUUUAAACCCAAGACAACUCAAGGAGAGCCACAAGUGACAACCUUUGUGGGUGGACCAUUCAGUCUUGGGGAGCUAUUGGUUGGUGGCAAGUCGAGGAAAAAUGUUGCUUAGUUAGUUUCUUGGUGUGAGCCUUCGAUUUCAUGUUUAUUUCUUCGGUCUUAUGAAACCAUUUUGACAAAUAAUAUAUGGUUUCUAACGAGUAGACUAUAGAUGAUGAACAAAAAAAAUCGUAAUGCAGAACAAAUAUAUAAUAUAUGGACAUGUAAAGAAACUUUUGUCCGAAGUUGCCAUAACUUGCUUUAAAUGUUGUAUGCCUUCUUGAGAAAAACUUGAUCGUUAUCAGCUCAUGUUCUGUCCAUGUAUUACUUUUCAACUUCUAAGUGAUGAGUUUGCGAUUUGCUUUUGUUAUUGUGGCGCUUAAUGGUUUCUCCAGGAAAUGGAAUUAGACAUGAGAUAGCCCGAAAAAGCCUAAACGAUAAGCUUGAAACCGUAGUGUUAAAUUCUCCUAAGAAAGAUGUGUAGUGGAUGAGAUUUUCUUGAAAGAUGAAGAAAUGAGUCUUAAAACUAGGUUAAGGAAUGGAGUGUAUCAGAAGAGACACUGAGAAGGAGAGACAAGAAGAAUCUGCAUACGAUGAUCUAACUGAGAUGAAGAGAAGGGGUUCAAACUCUAGAAGCUGAGAACACUCAGCUGAAGAAGUCGCUUGUGGCCAAAGAAAAGCUCGUGGUAAGCCUACUAGAGCGUAAAUUUCAGGUGGAGUCAGAAUUUGAAGCGUUAAUGACAAGAUUAGAUUAAGUGGAGAAAGAAAACGCCUUCUUGAGAUAUGAGUAUACUGUUCUUGAGAAGGAGCUUGAGGUCAAAACAGAGGGUACUCGCAAGUCUAUGGUUUGCUAACCCAUAAACAACAACUUAGGAAUGUGAAAAAGAUUGCUGAGCUUGAAGCUCAAUGCAAAAGGUUAAGAAUUCUGUUUCGAAUAGAGUUGUUUACAUAAUGGGCCACCUUUUGAGUUUACAUCGCACUCAGAGACACUGACACUUUCCGCUUUCCCCAUACAUUCACGGAGACCGAGACCAUUUGUUGACGAAAUUACCUUUAGCGAAGAGAAACAGAAGUGUGGUUUUGGUUGGUGAAUUGUUAUGAUGUAGUUUGUGGCUUUGCCUUAGUUUAGUUAACUUUUUUUUUCUAAUCAAAUUAGCUUCUUUUUCAUUUAUUAGGUUUGGUGUCUUGACUGUUGUGCUACAUUUACAGCCACAAGAUGAGAAAAAGGGCUGUUAAUCCGACGGUUGAUGUUAAAUUAAAAUUGGAUAGUACAACGUAGACGUAAAUUUAUUGCUUAUGUGAGGAAGCUCCAGACUCCACUUUAGGACGACAUAAUUUUGGUAGGAGGAGUUGUGGACGGGUGAGACGUGAACAUGAGAGUUAUAGAUGGGUGAGAUGUGGACCGGCGAGUCAUGGAUGGGUGAGAUAUGGACAGGUGAGUUGUGGACACGGGUGUGGUGUGGACGGUGAGUUGUUGACUGGGGAGAUAUGUACGGGGGAGUUGUGGACGUAAUGUAGUGCGCCGUAUUGGCUGACCAUAGGGGAGUGUGAUAGAGUGUUAUCUUUCUUUAUGGGUGUUUGAAUA